CGAAGUGGUGCUGCCAUCGGAUCUUUUCAACCUGCUCCUCCGGGUUGUGGUGCCUCGGGCCACCUGGACUCGACACACGGGGCCAGAGAGAAGCCGGCACAGAGAACCUCAAGAGACAAGAGAGGGAGGCAAGCAACCAGACACAGGACUACCAAAUAAAUGACAUGGACUGAGUCCUAUCAAGACUUGUCACCUUUCCUCUAUUAGAAUCGGUUACAUCUGAAACAAACAAAAAAAUGCAGUUUCCUCUCUUGCAUGUGUGACUAUAAAAAUAGUUCAAACUCUUAUUUUAAUAAAUAUAAAUUGUAAAGCU